GACGGUCACAAUGAAGUGUUCACGUCAGUAGUGGUCAGUAGUGUCUGGACAGACAUCAUAAACACUGACCUGAAGAGCUACUUGGAAAAAUGAAUGGAGUUUUUUUUUUUUUUUUUUAUGUUUUGAAUAUAACCAGCAGAUGGCGCAGUUAUGCACUUUUACUACCCAUCCCCCUUUACACUGAACUCACUGAAGAAGAGUGAAGGAAGCUGAGCAGCUAAAUAAUAAGAGCAACUAAAAGUGAUUGUGUUUAAUUUACAGAAACAUAAACAGGAGGAUAUUAUUAUUAAAAUGACGAUGAAAUGUUAAAAGAUGUCCUCUGAAAAAAUAACAGGCUGAAUCACCUACUGUUUUUAACGGAAACAGUAAAAUUUCAGAAAAUGUAAUCACGUCCAGAAACACAUCUCUCAGCGGCGAGUGGAAAUGGAGGAGCUACUGAACGCGAUGACUUGUGACCGAGAAAGAAGUGAUAAACCAACAUACUUCACUGCAAGUUCUACAUGUUAUCCACCAUUUUAUUCUAAUGGGAAGCUUCUUUACACAGCCAUCCCUCAGCCGUACACUAACACUGGACCAUAUAAACACUGUCAGAAAGCGGAAUGGGGAAAUAUCCACCCACAGAAUGACAAACAAACUCGGAAGAAGAGCUUCCUGAAUCUGCAGGAAACUCCACAGUUAAUCAGAGAGACUUCAGCAGGAGCCUGUAAUGCACUACUGCAGGUGUCCGGAACGAGGAUUGUGGCAGCCCCUCAGAACUUGAAGUCCCUCCCAACGAAACCUGACAAUUUCAACUAAAACAAACCAUCCAUUCUCCAUUUCGCUCAGUAG
ensembl:lncRNA